UUUCUUUGUAUUGCACAGGUUUAUGUUGUUACCCGUACAGAAUCUUUUUUUUCUUCUCUAAUUGUACUGAGGAUUGAGCCCUCAAGGGAAAGCUUUGGCAUGAAACAUAAGAAACAUGAAAAGGCAGCAUCACUCCUCCAAAAGUCCGUAACACCUCAGCUACUGAAUUCAAAGCUACACAAAGAGGUUAAAACUAUGGACAAAGAUUUCAAAACUUUACUAGAGAAACAAUCAUGGACUUCAAAGGGGAUAAGAAGAAGCAGUAAAUUCAGUCAGAGGCCUGCAGAGGACAGGCAGCUGCACAGACCUAAGAGUCGACAAAAUGGUGUGCAUUUUGUGAGUAGUGUGGAAGGGAAGGGAAGCAAGGAAGUUGAGACUCCAGGGUGGGACAGAUAAAAAGUGAGAAAUUAAAACCUUAAUGAUACGAAAACCCAAGGAAAAGGAUCACCGACAGACUUGACCGAUUAGAAGAAAGAAAGGCAGGCAUGGAGGACAAGGCCAAAAAACAUUGUGUUCAAACAUUACAACUAGGACGGUUCAAGGCAAACACGUCUUUGAGAUUGGAGGUGGCAGGAGACUGGUGUGGAGGGAGAGACUGGAGCUGCCCUUCAGGACCGCGGAGACGCAGCCUGGAUCCAAGGAAAAUACAGAGGAAUGGUGUGAGGCCGACUCCUUCUAACCCCUAAGAAAAUUCAGCCAUUAUUCACCUGCUGCUGUGGCCCAGAGAAACAAAGCAACCCUUUAAUCCCUCUGUUUCUCUGACAGUCUUCACUGUGUCUGCCUGUCUCUGAGCAGCUCCUCCUCCCCCCAGGAAGCACCAACAAGGCAUAGUGCACCUAAGAAUACUCCUUAUUUUUAUUUGGUUGGGUAACACCAAGUGUCUGACUCCAUAAUAGGGAAAAGGUCAUAAUAACCCAUAUGGUAGGGAAGAUGGCUUAUUGAUCCUCUGAUUAGCUCACUUGAGUGAGCCUAUGCAGUUGAAACAGCACUAUAAAUGUAGCCGUGUGCCCUCAAGCCAAAUUUACUUUAAGGACCUUGGUCCAGUAUUCAUAAAAUGGGUAGAUAAAGAAUGUCACCCCUGUUUCUCCCAAAUAUCUUCUUCUCCAGUAAAUAAAA